rnacentral:rRNA from 1 species
GGUCCCGUCACCACACUGGUACUGAGACACGGGACCAGACUCCUACGGGAGGCAGCAGUGAGGAAUAUUGGUCAAUGGAGGCAACUCUGAACCAGCCAUGCCGCGUGCAGGAUGACGGUCCUAUGGAUUGUAAACUGCUUUUGUACAGGAAGAAAUGUUACUACGUGUAGUAAUUUGACGGUACUGUAAGAAUAAGGAUCGGCUAACUCCGUGCCAGCAGCCGCGGUAAUACGGAGGAUCCGAGCGUUAUGAGUCCCGGAAUUAUUGGGUUUAAAGGGUUCGUAGGCGGUUGGAUAAGUCAGUGGUGAAAUCUCAUAGCUUAACUAUGAAACUGCCGUUGAUACUGUCUGACUUGAAUAGUAUGGAAGUAACUAGAAUAUGUAGUGUAGCGGUGAAAUGCUUAGAUAUUACAUGGAAUACCAAUUGCGAAGGCAGGUUACUACGUACUUAUUGACCGCUGAUGAACGAAAGCGUGGGUAGCGAACAGGAUUAGAUACCCUGGUAGUCCACGCCGUAAACGAUGGAUACUAGCUGUGCAUAUCGGACUUCGGUUUGAGUGGCUAAGCGAAAGUGAUAAGUAUCCCACCUGGGGAGUACGUUCGCAAGAAUGAAACUCAAAGGAAUUGACGGGGGCCCGCACAAGCGGUGGAGCAUGUGGUUUAAUUCCGAUGAUACGCGAGGAACCUUACCAGGGCUUAAAUGUAGAUUGACAGGUUUGGAAACAGACUUUUCUUCGGACAAUUUACAAGGGAUCUCGAUGCUGCAUGGUUGUCGUCAGCUCGUGCCGUGAGGUGUCAGGUUAAGUCCUAUAACGAGCGCAACCCCUAUUGUUAGUUACCAGCGCGUUAAGGCGGGGACUCUAGCAAGACUGCCGGUGCAAACCGUGAGGAAGGUGGGGAUGACGUCAAAUCAUCCAGACGCGGCCCUUACGUCCCUGGGCUACACACGUGCUACAAUGGCAAGUACAGAAAGCAGCUACCUGGCAACAGGAUGCGAAUCUCCAAAGCUUGUCUCAGUUCGGAUUGGAGUCUGCAACUCGACUCUAU